AACGAACGCUGGCGGCAGGCUUAACACAUGCAAGUCGAACGCCCCGCAAGGGGAGUGGCAGACGGGUGAGUAACGCGUGGGAAUCUACCUAGUUCUACGGAACAACAGUUGGAAACGACUGCUAAUACCGUAUACGCCCUAUGGGGGAAAGAUUUAUCGGAAUUAGAUGAGCCCGCGUAAGAUUAGCUAGUUGGUGGGGUAAUGGCCUACCAAGGCGACGAUCUUUAGCUGGUCUGAGAGGAUGAUCAGCCACACUGGGACUGAGACACGGCCCAGACUCCUACGGGAGGCAGCAGUGGGGAAUAUUGGACAAUGGGCGCAAGCCUGAUCCAGCCAUGCCGCGUGAGUGAUGAAGGCCUUAGGGUUGUAAAGCUCUUUCAGUAGGGAAGAUAAUGACGGUACCUACAGAAGAAGCCCCGGCUAACUUCGUGCCAGCCGCCGCGGUAAUAC
rnacentral:rRNA from 1 species